rnacentral:rRNA from 1 species
AUGGCCGAUCCGUUCAGCCUCUUUAAGGAGUUCCUGGGGUUUGGGUUCAAGAUCAAGGGUGCGCUGGACAAGGCCAAACACAACGUGGAGGAGUGCCGCAAGAUCGACAACCUCCUGCUCAUCCUGAGGGCCAUCGCCAAGAACCUGCAGGGUUCGCCCAAGAUCAUGGAGGACCACUUGAUGAGGGACACGGCCAAGGGCCUAGAGAAGGCCCUGCAGCGCGCGUCCGAGUUUGUCGCCGAGUGCAAGCGCAAGGGGGUCCUGCGCCGUGCUUUCAACGCCACCGACAUCGCCGAGAAGCUGGGCGGGGUCUGCCUCGAUGUGCUGCUCAACAUGAACGCCCUACUGCUUGCCAACGGUGCCUUGAACAACUCGGAGCUGGCCGAGCUUAAGGAAAUUGUGGCUCAGCUCCGCGCCGACGGUGCCUUGAACAACUUGCUGUUGACCAAGAUUCUGCAGAUUCUUGCUGAUUUGCCACAAGAGGUGGAAAAAUUGGUGAAGGACAACCAGAUAAGUUCUAAAAUUAAAGACAAAAGGGAGACAAAGAAAACAGCUGUAGCUAGUUCCCAAAACAAAAACAAAGGGGAGGCAAAGGAAACAGAUGUUGCCAGGCCGAAAGGGAAGAUUCAGAAAAACAAGAAACUAGGGGGUAGCACGGUGGUGCCAGAUACUUCCUUACCAGAUGGCUUAGAUGAGUCCGCUUCAGCGGCCAGGGUGGUUGGACAAGGCUCUAGUACUGGUAUUAUCAAUAAGGCAAGGAGCUCUAUCUCCAAGUCGGUGGACAAGGCACAGUCAGUGGGAGUUUCUGCAGCACCAUUCCAUCCGCAGAAAAUAAUCAGCAUAUCCAAGGAACCCGGAGAGACAGGCGGAUAUAAGAUAGACACCUGUUCCUCUGAGACUAGCAAGCUUCUUGAGGUCUACCCGCAGCGGCUUCUCUUCCCCAAGGAGCCAAAAAACAAGGAAACUACUGGAUCUGGAUGCCCAGUGACCCUAACCAACAGGACAAACCGUUACGUUUGCAUCUGGAUUAAACCAAUAAAUGGGCAAUUUACAAAACCAGAGAUAAUGAAGCCCCAUUCGACUUUGGUUGUGUAUGCGACAAUGAAUAUGCAUGCACAACCUCCCAAAGACACGGUCAAGUUUGAGGUGCUCAUGAUUAUCGUAGAGUCGAAGCAAGACUACGGAAAAUUGGAGUCAUCCAUUUCUGGCAAGCUGAAAAUGGACAGUGGCUUUAUGGAGCAUGUUAAGAAGCUUAAGGCAGAGGUGUAUCGGGCAAUGCUGACACCUAUCACUUGUGAUCUCGCAAGCUGCCAGAUCAUAUCAAGAUCAAUAAAGAGAAUGACCCUGGUGACAUCCAUUGAUGCGCACCCCACUAAGCCAUGGAUUGUGACGGGUCAUGAGGGAGGGGAUUUUUCCAUUUGGGACUACCAGAAGCAGGAAACUGUGAUGAAGUUGCAGGUCAAUGAGGUGCCAGACAAGGGUGCAUGGCAGCGACCUGCCUUUUUUCAACUCAUCAAAGAGAGGUCUGUCCAACAUUCGGUUUUUUCAGUCAAAUUUACCGCCGAAGGGAAACGGUUGGUAGUGGGGGAUGGUCGCGGAUACAUCUAUGUCUAUGAUUCCACCAACACUAAGCUGCAGGAGGUCAAGAAAAUCAGAGCUUAUGAUAAGAAAUCUGUGAACUCUCUGGCUGCACACCCAGCAAAGCCAUACCUUCUUUCAUCGUCUGCUUUUAGUAGAAAUAUCAAGCUUUGGGACUGGAGUGAGAACUGGAAAGUUCAAAAUUUCGACGUGAAACCUGAGAAUACAUAUUAUGAUGGUGUGCACAGUGUCAAGUUUAAUCCAAGGGACACCAACACUUUUGCUUGUGUUACCGAUGAGGACAGAGUAAAGGUCUGGAACAUCAAAACUUCCAGUCUUGAAACCACACUGAAGGGGCCAUUCGUCAUGGCUGAUUAUUUCUUCACUCGCGGUCAUCAGCACUUGAUGGUUACUUUGAGAUUUGACUCACACAACUCUGAGAUAUGGGAUUUGAAGACACAAGAAGUUGUUCACACUCUUAGCGUGAGUGGGCGCAAAAUGACCUGGGUUGCUUGCCACCCAAAGCUUCCAAUACUGGUUACAAUGUUAGAUGAUGGGACUGUAUGUUUGUGGGAUGCCAGUACCUACAGGCUUGAGAAAAUGGUUCACAUUACCAACAGCAAGUGUCGUGAUUUGGUAUUUGUCCAAGACACAAAUGGCCGACCCAGGCUCGCUAUCGCAUUUAAGACAAGGAUAGCAAUCAUGCAAGUUAAUUUGCCAAUUGCAAAUACAAGCAAUGCAAGUGGAUGA